UUAACUGCCCGACGUGCUCUUGUGGCCCAGGAAAUCAAGCGUGGGUGAGACCUGGUGCGGAAGGGGAAGGCGACCCAUACUUGGUUUCAGAGGCUGCAAGAAUACCUGCAUUUCUAAGGG
rnacentral:pre_miRNA from 13 species